UUUGAAUAGACUUUUUAUUAGAAGUAUAAUCAAAAUGGCAAGAAGAUCUUAAUCCAUGUACAUGAAUAAAUAGAUGCAUAGAAAGAGAUACAAUAAAGAGUCACAAAUAUUGAAGGAAUUCAAUCAAAUAAUACACUAUGAAAGUGACACUCUGGUCACAUCCUUUAAAGAAAAAAAAAAAAGGAAAGCAAUGUAGCUUACAGAUCUGCAUAAGGAGAAUUAUAAAUAUUACUGAUUUAAAAAAAAUAAUUGUUACAAAAAAUACUGAAGAUAAUAAAUCUCAAUUCCAUUAUUCAACAAAGUAAAAGACAAAAGACAGAACAAGAAGAUUAGGAAAGUAGCAGAUCUGGUUUCAAUUGUAUAAAGAUCUAUUUAAAUUGAGCUGGUGUAAAUCAAUAUAGCAGUGAAAGGAAUAAGAAGCUCACACAAUCUCCAUGUUACUAGAAAUACAAGAAGUUUUCGCAUUUGAUGGUGAUCAAUGCCAAUUAUGAUAUUAACAAAAGCAUACAAUCAAAUAGCAAAAUCAUUUUGAACCUAAUGUUUGCUGCAUACAAUAUUAUAGACAAUUUUUUCUAUUAAAAAUUGUCAUUGGCCUUUUUUUUAAAAAAAAAAAAAUACAAUGUAAUUUUUUAAAACAAGAUAUAUGGUCUUUCACACAAUUUAGCUAAAUGAAAACAUUUAAUACUCAAAUGAAAUACCCAAGAUGUACAUGUAUUAUGCACAUCAAAAUACAGUAUGCAAAGCAACAUUCAACAUUAUGUCUAGCUUUGUACUUAGUAAAAAAGAUUAUGGUGUUAUACAUUUGAUUAAUAAAUAUAAAAUAAAGGAAGUUUUUUUUCUCUUAUUUUUGUGCUUCUCAUAAAAAUUAUAAAUACUAAGAACAUAUUUUUAACAUAGCAAAUCUAAGUACCAGCUUCUAAUUUACUGGAAGAUACCACUGUGGGCCAUUGAUAUGUUUACAAUAUCAAAUGCAUGACAAAAAAAAAUAAAAAAAUAAGCUAAUAAAUAGAUUAUCUAUUUUAUACACAUGUAUUCACUAUAAUGUUUUAAUAAAUUUCAAAUC